GAUGAACGCUGGCGGCGUGCUUAACACAUGCAAGUCGAACGGAAAGGCCCAAGCUUGCUUGGGUACUCGAGUGGCGAACGGGUGAGUAACACGUGGGUGAUCUGCCCUGCACUUCGGGAUAAGCCUGGGAAACUGGGUCUAAUACCGGAUAGGACGAUGGUUUGGAUGCCAUUGUGGAAAGUUUUUUCGGUGUGGGAUGAGCUCGCGGCCUAUCAGCUUGUUGGUGGGGUAAUGGCCUACCAAGGCGUCGACGGGUAGCCGGCCUGAGAGGGUGUACGGCCACAUUGGGCCUGAGAUACGGCCCAGACUCCGACGGGAGGCAGCAGUGGGGAAUAUUGCACAAUGGGCGCAAGCCUGAUGCAGCGACGCCGCGUGGGGGAUGACGGCCUUCGGGUUGUAAACUCCUUUCGCUAGGGACGAAGCGUUUUUGUGACGGUACCUGGAGAAGAAGCACCGGCUAACUACGUG
rnacentral:rRNA from 1 species